rnacentral:rRNA from 1 species
UACGUAGGGUGCGAGCGUUAAUCGGAAUUACUGGGCGUAAAGCGUGCGCAGGCGGUUCGCCAAGUCAGGUGUGAAAUCCCCGGGCUUAACUUGGGAAUUGCGCUCGAAACUACGUGGCUCGAGUGUGGCAGAGGAAGGUGGAAUUCCACGUGUAGCGGUGAAAUGCGUAGAGAUGUGGAGGAACACCGAUGGCGAAGGCAGCCUUCUGGGCCAACACUGACGCUCAUGCACGAAAGCGUGGGGAGCAAACAGG